UGAAGUAUGUUUCAGUGUCCAGUGGCUGUAUCAGUACAUCUAUGGAGUCUCUGGGGGCCAACUUGAUAAGGAAGUUUCCCUGCUACAUUCUGUGGCCAAGGAUGAGUAGGCAAGAUUAAGAAUCUGCUUCUCAAGAUCUCAGUGAGAAGAGCAUUUUAGAAUGGGCUGCUCGACCUCUUAGUGGGGCCACAGGAGGGUGAAUGGGGAUGCCCAGCUGCUUCCUUGGUGGACCUCAAUGGGAUGGCUACUCAGGGAAGGCUGGCUGCUUCUUGGAGUCACAGGCAAUGCAGCAGUGUGAUGACUUGGCAAAUACCCAAACUGGGAUCAGUUCUCAAGGACUACAGAGCUCUCCAACUGCAAAUUCUUCAUGCACCUAUGGCAUGACUGGGAAUCGCCAGGGAUCUCCUUUGUAUCAUUUUAAAUACAGACUUCCUGUAUCAUAA